rnacentral:RNase_P_RNA from 2 species
GCGAGGCAACGGGGCUUCCUCGGGAGCCUAAGGCUCCCGAGAAAAUUAUGCCCUCCGUCUUUUGGGGGCUGCCGCAAGGCAGCAGCGCGAAAGCGCUACUGCACGAACAGAAACGGCACCCCCGUCAGCAGAUGAGAAUGACUUGACGAUGCUGACGGGUUGGUUGAAACGGCGUGCAGCCCCUGGAGAUAAGGGGGUUUCCCCCGCUUAGACUGAUGAAGCCCUAGAAGCAGAAGGCAUAUUACCGUUGCCUCGC